AAAGGAAUAGACGGGAGUCUACACAAGCGGUGGAGCAUGUGGUUUAAUUCGAUAAUACGCGCAGAACCUUACCAACUCUUGCAAAUUUAAUUAAAAAAUAAUUUUAGUUUAAACAGGUGUUGCAUGGCUGUCGUCAGUCCGUGUUGUGAAAUGUUUGGUUAAUUCCUUUAACGGACGCAACCCUUAUUAUUAGUUGCCACUUUAUUUAAAAUAUAAAAGCACUCUAAUAAAACUGUCAAUGAUAAAUUGAAGGAAGAUGGGGAUGAGGUCAAGUCUUCAUGGCCCUUAUGAGUUGGGCUACACACGUGCUACAAUGGUAAUUACAAUGAGACGCAAUAAUGGUUUUAAAUUGGAGCAAAUCUUUAAAAGUUAUCUUAGUUCGGAUUAUAGGCUGAAACUCGCCUAUAUGAAGCUGGAAUCGCUAGUAAUCGCAGAACAGCAUGCUGCGGUGAAUAUGUUACUAGACUUUGUACACACCGCCCGU
rnacentral:rRNA from 1 species